AACAUGUGAGGUCCUUGAGGGUAAUCUCUCUCUCCCUGGUAGCCCUAGUACCUCCUUCAGGCAGAUAUCCACAAAAGCACCUUGCACAGAAACAUCCUUGAGCUAUUUUAAGAGGCAGCAUUAUUUUACUGACAAAUGUUCAGAAUUGAGCUCUCUGACUUGCCCCCAGCCCAACCUCUAUGGAUUGACCCUUCUCCUCAGAGAGACUGUGUAUGCCUGUGCAGGCACACAUGUUGAGGGGAAGACAGGAAGACCUGCCCUCCCCCAGGCCCUGGCUUCUCUUCAGACAGUGCCAUUCACACUGAGCCUCACAAGGCAAGUACUGCCUGGUAUAACUUGGGGAGUGAUGGGGCCUGUUGACCAGAAUCACUCCUCCAAAAGCUUCACGCACAAGCCUGAGUUUCCAGUCAUCACCAGCAGCACCUUCAGUCUUUGACAGCCUUCUUAAUGAACACGCACAUUUUGCCUGGAUCAGGACACUGUGUUAUCUGGCAAAGGUUGCCCAUUUAAAAUGAGUGACUGGAAAGGUUCGACCCUCUACUGCCCCCCUAUUGUCACCCCUUUGGGAUUAGAAUCCUGAAAGAAUGAUGAGAAGAAAGGCUACAUAUGGAGAGACCUGAGAAACCCUGAAUCUUGCUUGAGAGGAGGAAAUCAGACACCUGCAUAGUCCAGCAGGCUGAUCCCAGUCACCAGGGAGCAGAGAGCAGAGGAGAGUUCCAGGGAC
rnacentral:lncRNA from 1 species